rnacentral:rRNA from 1 species
AUUGAACGCUGGCGGCAGGCCUAACACAUGCAAGUCGAACGGUAACAGGAAGAAGCUUGCUUCUUUGCUGACGAGUGGCGGACGGGUGAGUAAUGUCUGGGAAACUGCCUGAUGGAGGGGGAUAACUACUGGAAACGGUAGCUAAUACCGCAUAACGUCGCAAGACCAAAAAGGGGGACCUUCGGGCCUCUUGCCAUCGGAUGUGCCCAGAUGGGAUUAGCUAGUAGGUGGGGUAACGGCUCACCUAGGCGACGAUCCCUAGCUGGUCUGAGAGGAUGACCAGCCACACUGGAACUGAGACACGGUCCAGACUCCUACGGGAGGCAGCAGUGGGGAAUAUUGCACAAUGGGCGCAAGCCUGAUGCAGCCAUGCCGCGUGUAUGAAGGAGGCCUUCGGGUUGUAAAGUACUUUCAGCGGGGAGGAAGGGAGUAAAGUUAAUACCUUUGCUCAUUGACGUUACCCGCAGAAGAAGCACCGGCUAACUCCGUG